UAGCCGUAAACGAUACUCGCUAGGUGUCGGCCACGGUACGACCGUUGUCGGUGCCGUAGGGAAGCCGUGAAGCGAGCCACCUGGGAAGUAUGGCCGCAAGGCUGAAACUUAAAGGAAUUGGCGGGGGAGCACAACAACGGGUGGAGCUUGCGGUUUAAUUGGAUUCAACGCCGGAAAUCUUACCGGGACCGACAGUAACAUGAAGGCCAAGCUGAAGACUUUGCCGGAUUAGCUGAGAGGAGGUGCAUGGCGUAGUCGUGU
rnacentral:rRNA from 1 species